rnacentral:lncRNA from 13 species
AUAAUAUCUGCCACUUUAAGCUUAACAAUGCUGUGAUUAUCUUUGAUCAAAUUAUUGAAUUUAACUGUGCAUUCUGCCACAUAUAAAAUGUGUUGCUCUCUACAUUCUUUCAGAAAAUGAAAUUGCAGGGAAAUUUAUUAUGACUCAUAAUGUUGGAGAAAACAAUGAAAACAAAAAACAAAAAAGUUUGUUCAAGAUUGCUGAGACUGAUGGUUUCCAGCUUCAUCCAUGUCCAUGCAAAAGACAUGAACUCAUCUUUUUUAUGGCUGCAUAGUAUUACACGAAAAUUCCAUACACUGUUGAAUUGAAUAUGUAUUCUGCAGUUGUUGGAUGAAAUGCUCUGUAUAUAUCUCUGAAGUCCAUUUGCUCAAAGGUAUAGUUAAAGGCAUUGUUUCUUUGUUGAUUUUCUGUCUUGAUGGCCUGUCUUGAUGGGGAGUAUUGAAGUUCCCCACUAUUAUCGUGUUGCUGUCUAUAUCAUUUCUUAGGUCUAUUACAAAUUUGGGAGCUCCAGUGUUGGGUACAUAUAUGUUUAGGUUUGUGAUAUUUUCCUGUUGGAAAAGGCCUUUUGCCAUUACAUAAUAUCACUUUUUGUCUCUUUUAUCUGCUAUUCCUCUAAAGUUUGUUUUAUUUGAUAUAAGAAUAAUUACCCCUGCUCACCUUUGGUGUCCAUUUGCAUGAAAUGCCUUCUUUCACCCUUUUGCUGUAUGUCCUGUGUGUUAGGUGAGUCUCUUAAAGGCAGCAGAUGGUUGGUGAGUUCUUAUCCAUUCAAUGGUUUUGCAUCUUUUAAGUGCAGCAUUUAGAUAAUUUACAUUAAAUGUUAGUAUUGAAAUGUGAGGUACUGUUCCAUUUAUCAUGCUUUUUGUUGCCUGUGUACUUUGUUUCAACCAACCCAGAGUAAGAUGUUUC